rnacentral:rRNA from 1 species
UAACCUGCUAAAUAGUCAGGCCGGCUUUGGCUGGUCGCAGACUUCUUAGAGGGACUGUCAGCGUCUAGCUGACGGAAGUUUGAGGCAAUAACAGGUCUGUGAUGCCCUUAGAUGUUCUGGGCCGCACGCGCGCUACACUGAUCAAGUCAACGAGUUUACAACCUUGGCCGGAAGGUCUGGGUAAUCUUUUGAAACUUGAUCGUGCUGGGGAUAGUCCAUUGCAAUUAUUGGACUUCAACGAGGAAUUCCUAGUAAGCGUGAGUCAUCAGCUCGCGUUGAUUACGUCCCUGCCCUUUGUACACACCGCCCGUCGCU